rnacentral:rRNA from 1 species
CGGGGCCGGCAUGUGUAGUAUAAAUAGUUAACUUUGAAACUGCGAAUGGCUCAUUAUAUCAGUUAUAGUUUAUUUGAUGAAGAAUACUAAUUGGAUAACCGUAGUAAUUCUAGAGCUAAUACAUGUAUAAAGUCUUGUAGACUGCAUUUAUUAGAAUGAAAACCAUAGGUUUCGGCCUAUUCGUGAGUAAUAAUAACUAAUCAUAUCGUAUGCUUAUGUAACGAUGUGUCUUUCAAGUUUCUGCCCUAUCAGCUUUCGAUGGUAGUGUAUUGGACUACCAUGGCAGUAACGGGUAACGAAGAA